rnacentral:lncRNA from 1 species
GUGACUUCAAGUUAGGGCUUCAGCUUCAGCUCUGACUUCCUCCUGAGGACCCUGUGACCAUCGGAUAGGUUACAGUUGCAUUACUGGUGGGCAGGGCUCGAUGAGGACGCUCUUGGGAUGCUGUUGAUGAGAGUGCAUUUAUGAUGGCAUUUAUAAAGGCCCUACAUCCGCCCAUGGAAGACCUCACUCUCCAUGGGGAGCAGAACUGGGAUAGAGCCUUCAACGAGUAGCUGAUGGAAGCAGAAGCAGACACUCACCUAAGAAUUGAGCUGAAGUCUGGAAUCCAGUUAUAGAGAGGGAGGAGUAAUCAGCAAAGGGGGCAAGACCAAGCUGGGGAGACCCACAGAAACAGCUGACCUGAACAAGGGGGAGCUCAUAGACCCCAGACUGACAGCUGGGGAACCAGCAGAGAACAUAACCAGGUUUUAAAAACGCUAGUUAGUGCUGUGUGCCUCUAACCCCAAGCCCAAGCAAGAGUGUGAGUUCCAGGACCAUCAAGAAACCCAAAUAAUUACCACCACAACAACAAAAUAGUUGACACUUUGGAUCACCUUUCAGCGACCAAGAACUUUCCUUUUUGCUAAAUAAAUCCUCUUUGUUUUGCUCCAAUAAAUAAAUAAAAACUCCAG